UACGAAGGGGGCUAGCGUUGCUCGGAAUCACUGGGCGUAAAGCGCACGUAGGCGGCUUUCUAAGUCAGGGGUGAAAUCCUGGAGCUCAACUCCAGAACUGCCUUUGAUACUGGAGAGCUCGAGUCCGGAAGAGGUGAGUGGAACUGCGAGUGUAGAGGUGAAAUUCGUAGAUAUUCGCAAGAACACCAGUGGCGAAGGCGGCUCACUGGCCCGGUACUGACGCUGAGGUGCGAAAGCGUGGGGAGCAAACAGG
rnacentral:rRNA from 1 species